GCUCUGGGAAGUUUCCACAUUGUUGCUAUGUGGAGAAGUUUUAGGGGCCGGAGUUCCCGGAGCGUUGCUAGGUAACGGCGCCGCUUUUUUUUUUCUUUCAGGGUGGCGUGUGACCUGGGACCCCGGAACCGGAGAUAUAGGCAACCACAGAAGAGAUGUCAGACAGAAGGGGCUAUUUGCAUUUUAGACGCAAUUAUGCAGAGGAGUUGAGAAUCAAGAAAGAGCUGGAAAGAUUGCUUAAGCCUCCUCAUAGGGCUAUCAGACAUGAUAUGGUGAAACUCCGGCCCAAAAGCAGCUCACCCCUAUCUCUGAUGCAGGACCCUUCUAUCCCCCAGUCAAAUCAAUUUCAUUCUCUCUCACGUCCGAGAUCUGGGGUUAGAAGCAAACCAUCUUCAUCUGCCUGUCAUUCUGCACCAACUUCGUCUGAAUCAAAACGAACCAUUGUUUCUAUCACUGCAGACAUACGGCUUGAUGAUAAUAAAGCCUGUAUGUUCGCAAAAGAUGCUUCUUCUAUUUCUACAGAUGUUGCUCAAAAACUAGAAGACCAGACACAGUUGCAACAUGGCCACUUGUAUGUUCAUAAAGAGACUCCGGAGACUGAGCACAACGUAACAAGACCCGCUAUAGCAUCAAUGGUUGGAACAACCAAACCUAUAAUGGUUUUCACACGACCAGAACCACCCUCAAAGCCUAGGUCUUACAUUCCACAGGACUCAGGAAAUAUUUCUACAAAGUCUUUAGUCAUAGAGAAGAAGAGGACAAAAAAACAAAGAGUGACACCAGCACCCUCUUCCAAGACGAAAAAAUCUGUUGAUGUUAGGUCAUCUGAAGACAGUGAUGACACUAGUACGUCUUCAAGUUCAGAUUUCCAAGAUAGUGAUGACUCGGUGAAAAGGAUAAAAAGUAGAAAGAAGAAAAAGAAAAACAGUUUAAAGAAGUCCAAGACCUUGUCUACAUCAGAGCAAGUUCAUUGUGGUAGAGAUAAUCCGACAAACACUUCAUCUCUUAUAGCAGAUAAAUCGUCUCAUGUGGUUACUGAUCAAAGCAACAUUAUGGGAACCAUUGAAGGGGCUAACGUCAGUGUGGUGUCACCAUUCAAGACCACAGCCAGGUCUGUAGACGAAAUAAUAGCCUCGCUACGGUCUCCUCAGUCAUAUACAGCUUCAGACUUGAUGAUAAAACAGUUAAUGGAGAGUGUACUGGGCCUGGACUAUAACGUCACAUCAGGGGAAACUACAGAAGAAAAAUCUGAUGUUCAAGAGAAAGAGUCCAAGCAGCUUCAACUGGAAAAUACAUCAUCUGCAGAAGUUCAACCUCCAGAGCCGCAUGUGCUCCAGGUUCCUAAGGCAGAUAUCACGCUGGAUGACAAGCUUUCCACUCCGUUGUCUUUUUCCUUGGUUAAAGAUGAGGAAGAACCAAGUCACCAAGGAUCCAUGUUGACUGCAGAGGAAUCCAUAACAUCUUUAAAAGUGGAAGAAAUGACAGAAGGAAAAGCCAAGGAAAUUCUCAAGUCAUCUGCUCAGAUCUCCAUCUCGGACAUCAUUCAUGUGAAAGGAGAUGCAGCGCAACUGAUGAAGCGCACGGCUGCAAAGACUCCCCCUUCUACUGCUCUUCUUGCCACCUGGAAGCCAAAAACAAAAUUUGGUGAACAUCAGACAAUCCAUCAUCUGUGCACAUUGUCACCCAAUCAUGUUCUACCAAGCUACCUACAAGUAUCAUCACGGGUGCAUCACACAAUGGACAGAAAAGGCCAUAAUACUGAACCAGUUGUUACCAUUAGUCCUAAAGGGAACACAAUAAUUGAUGCCAACCAUCACUUACUGCCAGCCUGUGAAGAAGAGAUUAGGCUUUUUCAAGAUGGAAUUCUAGCCUCUUCACUACAGUUUCAGGAUCAGAAGGGCAGUGUAAUUACCCUGCCUCCUCAAAGUCCACAGAGCUUACAGCAGUGGCAGAAGAUCGCUGAGUAUUAUGUGGAAGGACCACGAAUGCAGCUUGUUGGAGAACAGGCUUCUCUGAACCCAGGGACCCUCAAGAUGUUUUGGGCUCCUGCUCCCCCCAAAUUCUCAGCUCCUUUAUCACUUAUGCAGAAAACUCUGUUCUCUAAGUAUGAGAGCUGCUUGGGUGAGCAGGAUGAAAUAGAAGAAUUUGCGGCAAUACAGACUAACAGUGAGUCAUCAGAUGAGGAAAGUAUAGAUCCUGAAGACCUGGCGAUGCUGGACCGGAUUUUAUCACGAAAAUGCAAAUCAUUGUCAGACAUCCAUUUGUCAUCUUCAUCUGCUGGACUAUUGAUGAAAUCAUCCUCUACUCCGGAUUUGUCAUCCCAUAGAACGUGUUUGUUUCAUCUUUCUGCUGACUUUCAGACAAGUAUGAAAGAGCUUGAAAUGUGGAAACAGCAGAAUUACAAGGCAGCAAAGCCUCCAUUUGUUAUUCCUGGUGUCCAUGAUGAACUUCAUGAAGAACAAGCCCAAACUGCUGAGCCUCUGCCAGACAGUGCUGUAAGACCAGACUUACUUGUGGAGAAAGGCAAAGAUUUCUUGUCUGAUGUGGGAAUUGUGACAACUCAUGUCUUGAAAAAUGUUAUUCCCUUUAAGAAGAAAUCGAAGAAACGAAAAAGACUCCUAGAUCCAGCAAAGUUUCAGGACAUUUUACUGAAGUUGAACCAACCAUCCCGCAUCAUAGAAAGAUCUAUAUCCUUUGUAAGAACCCAAGUAAGACACAGCCCAGCUCAUCGUCCGCGGAGCAUGAGUCUUCCGUGCCAGCUAGAUUUCUCAAGCUUCUUGAAGACACAUGGUGGCAUCUAUAGUGGUCAGGAUGUUCGUGAGUGGGUGAGAGACAUCUGGAAUAAUUGGUUUGAUGAGGUUUUUCCAUCAAGUCAGACAUCGAUUGAAGAUGAACACAACUAUUUUGAUAUGACUGAUGGCAUUCAUUCUGAACAAGUUCCUAAGGAGGCAGUAUCAUGGGCCAUAGGACUGGAUUCAAUACCCCCUCUUCUAGUGGAAGACCCAGCAGCAUCAGUGCAAGAUGUAAUGGGAGAAAUUUCAGAUUUAACCAAUAUGAUAGAACAACAGAAGACACCAUCUAUAUUUCACUACUGUAGAAGAGGAGCACUCAAUAGAAAGAUUGGAAAUUUGACACUGGCAAUUCAAGAUUUAGACUUGGUAAUAAAACAUGAGCCACAACUGCUAGAUGCAUAUUGGCACAGACAUUUAAUUUAUCUUCUGCAAGGCAAGACAAGCGAGGCUUUGGAUGACCUGAACUUUAUUAUUAAAUAUAAUAAAACUCAUACAGAUGCCUACUUGUCCAAAGCUGAGAUCUACAAGCAGAAGAAAGACUACACCAUGUCCAUUGUAAAUUACACACAAGCUCUUAAAUGUCGACCUACAGACGAUGACAUAUAUUACCGGCGAGCACAGAUGUAUGAGGCACAGGAUGAACUGAUAAUAGCCAUGGAUGACUAUUCACAGUGUUACUACCAUAACCCCAGCCGCACCGAUGCGCUCAUGAAGCAUGGAUUGUACUAUUUUGAGAACAGCAACUGGAACGUCUCUGUGCAAGAUUUCACUGCAGUCAUCAAACAAGAGUUUAACAACGUAGAGGCAAGAAUGUACCGUGGAAGAGCUUAUACCGAACUUGCUCGCUAUAGUGAAGCGGCUGAAGAUUUUUCAGCUGUCAUUCAUUUAGAUCCGAAAAAUUGGAUGGCAUUUUAUUAUCGAGGAUGUCUGUUGCGUAAAUGCUAUCCUAAGCAUGCACUUCAAGACUUCAGUGUCUCUGUGCUUCUUAAUGAUGAAUUUGAGAACCUCAAUGCCUUUCUAUAUCGUGGAGUCCUCUACACAGACCUAGGCCUGUGGAAUGAGGCAGCAUUUGACUUUGAACAUGUCCUUGCCUUAGAUAAGGCUGUGCCUAUGGCGCACGUGAAUCUGGGUCUGAUUUGCCUGCUUCACAGAAACCAGUAUACUCAAGCAGUGCGCCACUUCUCUGGCGCUAUAAAAGUUGACCCCCUCUAUAUUCGAGCCUACCUCUGCAGGGCACAGGCCUACCGACAGAUGAAGGAUCUACACAGUGCUUUGAAGGAUAUAACACGUGCCAUUCAUCUGCGCCCAGACUCUCCUGAACCCUAUAUAAUCAGGGGACAGUAUCUCUAUGAGAUGAAGAGGUAUGACCUCGCCAGCUUCUGUAUUCACCAUACAGCUGAGAUGACUCACGGUUCCUCGCCAGUGCAGCAAGCCCUUGUCCAGUCUUUCCUCCAUCAAAACAACAGUGCCAUAGACUGUCUGGUUUCUGCCAUAAAGGAUAAGCCAUCUUCAGCUCUGAUAAUACUUUUAGGAAAAAUUCAAAUGAAAGCUAAGAAAAACAAGGAAGCAAGUGAAAGCUUCAGACAGGCACUUGACCUACUGAACCAGCUAGAUGAGAGGUCCCCGUCUACGGACAAGGCUGAAGUUUUUUACCUACUGGGCCUGUGCUACAUGGAGCAGUUUAAGUUUCUUCAGGCUUUUGAGGCUCUGACCAGUGCAGUGAAGAAUCGCUCUGGUUAUUGUGAUGCUUACUAUCAGCGUGGACUCUGUCGCAUGCGUCUUCAGCAGUCAAAGUGUGUGGAGGAUUUUAACAAAGCUCUUCAGAUAAACCCAAGACAUUUCCAGGCUUAUUUGUGCAGAGCAGCUUUCUAUGGAUUUAGAAAGAGAUAUUCUAAAGCCAUCACAAAUUGCAAUGCUGCAAUCAGGGUACAGCCACACGGCGUAAGAGCUUAUCUCUACAGAGGAGCAUUAAAGUACUACAUUAAGGCGUAUAAGUUGGCAAUUCAAGACUUAACAAAAGCCACAGAGUUGGAUCCAUCUUGUUCUCUUGUGUAUUAUAACAGAGGAGUUUGCUUCCAUCAGAUCAAGAUGUACGAAGAGGCACUGAAGGAUUACGCUAUUGUUCUUCUCCUUGGAGGGGGGAAGGAAGUGGAUGUUAAGGUUCUUGUGAAUCGUGGAUUACUGUACCUUGAAUUACAUGACUAUGCCAAUGCACUAGAGGAUUUUAAAGCUGUGGCUAUAAAAACUCCUGAUGAUGUGAAGAUCCAUCAGGUUAUAGGGAACUGUCAUCACAGAUUACAGCAGUAUAAGGAGGCAAUGUUGGCAUUCAGCCAAGUGUUACAAAUAAACUCUCUGACUCCUGAGGGCUACAUUGGUCGUGGAAAUGCAUACAUGGAGUAUGGGCAUAAAGAGGGCACUAAGCGUGCUCAGGCAGACUUCAUGAAGGCUCUUCACUUAAAACCCACAAGCAUUGCAGCAAGGAUCUGUUUGGGAUACAAUUUACAGGCCCAAGGACUACUUCAGCAAGCUUGGAACCAAUUUACCGUGGCCCUGGAUAUUGAUGCAAGAAGCAUGCUGGGAUUUGAGGGACGUGCUAUUGUAAAUCUGCAGAUGGGGGACACAUUUGCAGCUCUGCAGGACAUGAAUGCUGCAUUAAAGCUUGGUGUGACAGCUCACCUACUGACAAAUCGGGGAGUCAUUCACCAGUUCAUGGGGAAGUUACCCAAUGCAAUGCGAGAUUACCAGUCUGCAAUUGCAGCCAAUUCCAAGUAUUCAUUGGCUUACUUCAAUGCAGCAAACCUGUAUCUCCAUAACCGGCAAUUCUCACAGGCUAAAGAAUAUUACACUCAAGCCAUUGAACUGGAUCCUGACAAUGAAUCAGCCUUCCUGAACCGUGGGAUCACAAAUAUGCUUUUACAAGAUGUGCAAGAAGCACUUGAGGAUUUCCAUAGGGUCAUAAACCUUUGUCCAGUAUCUUCUGCUGCAUUUUUCAAUCGUGCUACCUUACAUAACACUUUACAAGAAUACCAGCAAGCUGAAAGUGACAUAACUCAAGCUAUGAUUCUUCAACCUGGAGAUCCUUUGAUGUACAAGCUGAGAGCAGACAUAAGAGGAAAAAUGGGACUGGCUAAGGAAGCCAUUGAGGAUUAUGAGCAAGCUAUAACAAUACUGCAACAGUCUUCCCAGAAUCAGUGACUCUCCAAAGAUGAAAGGCAUUGGCGACACUAUUGGUAUACUGGGGCAUCAUUUUAGCAUACUCCUCUUGAGCUGUUCCUUGUAUACCCAUAAACUUUAGUUACAGUUUAAUAAUUAGGAGGUCUUUUAAAAAGCUUAUGAACCCGCAUGUGAUCCUUCUCAUGCUAAUAGUCUCCAGUCUCUGACGUGAGGACUAAGCUGCAGGUACAUUGCAUCCAUAAAGAUGACAUUUCAUAAAUUCUUUGUUCACUGGCUGUCACUGGACUUUGUGAUAUUUUGGUCAAACAUCAUCCUGGCUUUUUAUCCAUUGGACAGUUCUAUCAUGUCUUAUGACACAGCUUAGACACAGCUCAGUCAAUGCACUGAAAUGCUAAGGAGAGAAGAAGAAUUGUGUGUAUUUCAGUUUUUAUAUUUAUUGCUGGUUUCUGGUUCCAAAAACUUGGCUGGAGCACCAAAGGUGAUAUCAGCACCUAAUGUCCGAUUGUCACGGCAGCCAGAUAUUUAUGACUUGUAGAAUAUAAGCUCUGACAGCUUGUGCAAACAAUACCCAGGAGAGAAAGGGUUAAUCAUUUAGCCAGCUGGCUAACAA